rnacentral:rRNA from 1 species
GAUGAACGCUAGCUACAGGCUUAACACAUGCAAGUCGAGGGGUAACGAGAGGAAAGCUUGCUUUCCUUGUCGACGACCGGCGCACGGGUGAGUAACGCGUAUCCAACCUGCCCCCAACUAAGGAAUAACCUUGCGAAAGUAAGACUAAUACCUUAUAAUUUCCUCAGAUGUCAUCUGACGAGGAAUAAAGAUUUAUCGGUUGGGGAUGGGGAUGGGUGUGAUUAGCUUGUUGGCGGGGUAACGGCCCACCAAGGCAACGAUCAGUAGGGGUUCUGCGAGGAAGGUCCCCCACAUUUGAACUGAGACACUGUCCAAACUCCUACGGGAGGCAGCAGUGAGGAAUAUUGGUCAAUGGGCGAAAGCCUGAACCAGCCAAGUAGCGUUCAGGAUGACGGCCCUAUGGGUUGUAAACUGCUUUUAUACAGGAAUAAAGUUAGCCACGUGUGGUUAUUUGUAGGUACUGUAUGAAUAAGGACCGGCUAAUUCCGUGCCAGCCGCCGCCGUAA